CUAGUGAGUGGGCAAAGCAGCACUCCAUUUAUAAACCCUCUCCUGUUUUCUUGCUCCCUCCCUACUGUUUUCUCUUGCGACUCAACCCUCUCCUGUUUUCUUCCUCCUUCCCUAUUAUUUUCCCUGGCGACCCGCUUGUUCCUCCCGAGCGCCCCUUUCUUCUCUUUGAUGGCGGACAAUGAUUACUCAGCGGUGCUGGAGAAUGGAUCUACUUGAUGCUUGGCUUGUGCCAAG
rnacentral:lncRNA from 1 species